UUUGUAGUCCCUCCGUUCCGAAUUACUUGUCUUAGAUUUGUCUAGAUACGGAGGUAUCUAGCACUAAAAUGAGUCUAGAUACAUCCUAGACAAAUCCAAGACAAGUAAUUCGGAACGGAGGGAGUAUGUG
rfam:Triticum urartu cultivar G1812 contig1056898, whole genome shotgun sequence.